rnacentral:lncRNA from 1 species
AAAACAGAGACAAAAACAAAUCAGAAACAGUAUAGCAUUAGUGCAUUAGAAAUUCCAGUACAAAUAGCGUUAAAGUUUUGUAAAACAAAGGUUUUAAAAUAGAAGAAAGAAUUUUAGAAAGGAGGAGUCCUAGGUUGGUUAGCCUAUAGGAUCACCCCACACAAUGUCCGCUAAGCUCUCCUUGAUGAGGGGAUACACGUGACGUUAGCGCGUAGUCAUCAUAUCCAUAUGUACCCUUCCCAUCCCUUAGUGGUCAUGCAAGGCGAGUGUUGGUCAACGAUCUCUAUUGCGUGCUGUUACAUAUCCCUUCUUAAUGGUCCUGGAGGGAUUUAAGAACUCUACCAAUAGGUGGUUCUAGAUGGACCCCUAAGGUUUUAAAGGUGAAAAUACUAAGGCGACAAGAUAUAACAAUUAGGACUCUUUUCAAAUAAGAACAAAAGGGAGCAAUUAGAGGUUCAAAGUUUCCUCUUCAAACAAGGGACAUAAACAACACCACUCAAAGUCAAGUAAGGGCCUUUAAACUGUAUCCUAAAGCAAGAUGUCUAUAUGAAUAUGCAGAAGACAAGCAAUCUAUUUUUUAAAGCCUCGGAAGCAAUGACCCUAUCAGUGGCCUACUGAUUUAAAGAUUUCUUAAACUAGGACAAUAUUUAGUCACAGAAACGGUUUUAGAAUUGCAAGUUUUGAAAAAACGCCCUAUAGGUUUUCCUAUAUGCGAAAUACUGAUGACUACUUCUUAUAUGGUGAAACAAAACAGGUUUUGAAAUGGACUCUUUAAUACCUAUAGGCACGCUUUCUAAGGAUAAAUUGAGGCCGUUUUAAAGAACUCGUUUCAAGGAAAUAUAAACCACUCAAUUAAAUCAAUUUAGAAGCGAGAUAAUUAUUAACCAGAUUAAUUUAUUUUUAAAAAACCAACUAGUUUAGAUCUAUUAGAAUAAUCUGAUGUUGUUCCCUAUAGGUAUGAUAUUUAAUAUUCAAUAAUGAUUUUAAAGAUGCAGGCAUAGUGACACAUGAAAACAUACAUAAACACUUGUUAUAACACAAGUCAUAUUUGGAUUAUGUUCUAUUGGCAUGGUAUCUACUUGUGACACUGAUUUAAGACCUAUUUAAUAUGAUUUUUAUUAUGGGAUCAAGUGAAUACUAUAAGCCUGAUCUCUAACAUGGUGAGACAAACCUGAUAAGAUGUAAAAGUCCUAUAGGCAUAUUUUCUACUCGGUAAGACAAUCAUAUCAAAAUGUGAAGUCCUAUAGGCAUGGUUUCUACUAAUAAAGGCAAACACAAAAAAUUUUAAAGUCUUAUAGGCAUGAAUUUUACCCGUAUUAUCCCACAAACAUGUAACUAACUACCCACUUUACUAAUUACACCAAUAUUCGUUUACAAGUUAUUAUAGACCAUAUGAAUGAAUUACAUAAGUAAAUAAGAAAAUAACAAGUUGUUCUAUAGGGAGCCUACAGAUAGGCACAGAUUUCCAAAGUCUCCAAUAGCCUCAAAUGCCUCAAUUCCAUAGACAAAGUCAUAGUGUAGGUGCAUCAAAGUUCCCUAAGGAUCUUAAGGAUCCCGACCAAUUCUUACACCUAGACUUAGUAACCAAACAUUAAAUAAGUGCAACGUGGAAGGGCCAUCCUCGGUAUGCUAGAGUUUAGAGGGUUCUCAGGAGGAUCCCAAGGCAGGGGGGGGGGGCAGAACUUAUUGACUUAGGAGUAUAGUGAAUGUACUUGACACAAGAUGAAAGGUUAUAAUGGGAAAAACUGUAUUAAAGGGAAGUUUGUUUGAAAUAAAUUAGUAAAACAAUAGAGACAAUUUGAAAAGAGAGUGGAGUAGUAAACAACAGUACAAACACAACACCCUUAAAACUGGUUCAUACACAGCCAGGAGUCACAGAACCAAAGCAAGUUCAGCAGUCACAAACAGGGGUCAUGAUUGUAAACAUAUAACAUGAAAAAGUUCUUAGGAAUUGGUACAGACAUGCUCAGACACAAUAUAGUCAUAGAACCAACAAUGCUUACGGGGGUAUAGUAGGAUCCACAUGAUUUAAGAAUUAACACUAGAAUCAUAUAAGUUUUAGUAGUGCAGACUACAUAGAAGGGAUUCAUACUAGAAUCCAGAUAGUGCAAAAUAGACUACAUAAAAGUGAGAACAUGCUCAUACUUAUCCUAAGGAGGGGGUUCAUAAUAUGCUAAUUAUGUAAUCUUAUCAACUGCAAGUUUCACAGCAAAAUCAUAAGUAAAAGCAAACUAGAAACAAAAUGAACUGAAAUAGUAAAAGAACCAUUUUGUUGUUGGAACUUGAAUUGAAAGUAGAACAUACUAGUAAAGAAGAUAAUAAGCAAGAGUGAAGGUGUAGGAGAGCACAAUAGUUAGCCGGCUGCAGAAAAGAGAGAGAGCAGUAAGUUUAAAUGUGUGUGUGAGAGAGCUUUUUUGAACCAAGAGUGUUAUUGUGUUAAUGAAAUAAUGAGUAUAUAUCGCUUGAAAGCAGGUAUUAAAUAAGGUAAUAUCAAAGUUGAUCAGUGAUUAUGGUGACUCAGAAUCAAUUAGCCACGAAAUCAUGUUCAGUAUUCCUUUAAUAAAGGAGUCAACUUCAAACGGUAGUAAACAUGUGGCAAAUAAGGAAGAAAAUCGUAUAAGGCUGAGCAUAAUAAAUGGGAAAAUAAUUUCCGCAUAAUAUAAGUACACAUAUAAUAGAGGCUAGGUUCAGCAUAUUUCAAUCAAGGAAAGAUCUAGGAAACCAAUUAAUAGCAUAAUUGACCAUAGAAUAAGGUCAGAAAAUAUUUUACAAGGUUAAAAAUUAGUAGAGAUAUCAUUCAAAAUCAGUGGAAGGAUCAAUCACAAAAAUUCAAGGAUUCAAAAGUAAAAAAUAGCACUGAUUUAGCAGCUUUAUAAAAACAAGCACAUAGUAAGCAAAAACUAUACUCUAAGAGGUCGAGUAGGACAAAAAUCAUAUACAAAUUAGGGAUACAUGUAGAGCAGAGUCUGAAUUAGUAGAAUAAGCAUGAUACAGACACGAGAAGUAAAGAAUCAGAAACAUUGGUGAAUAAAAUAAGGUAAAAUCAUACGAUAAGCAAGGAUAGCCAUAAUUAGGAACCUUAACAAGCAAUCAUAGGGUAACAUCACAGAAUCACAGAAACAUAUAGAUUAACUGAAUAUGUUAUAAAAACAAAACUCAAAAACCCAAGAUUAGAACCAAGAAUUUAGGGUUUUCAACAUAUGCAAGUUGAAGAGGUAGUAGAACCAUAGAAUCAGUCAAAAUAUACAAGAGAUAGAAGUUUAAACAUAAAGGAUCUGUUUAAGCAAAGUUUCAGAAGAAGUUCCGAAAAACUUAAUUUGAGAAGACGGUGAAAACACUUUGAAAUCGAUGAUUCUUGUAAAGAGUUACAAGGAUAGUGUAAAACAUCAAAGAAACAGACUCAAAUCAUUUAAGAAUCGUACAGAUCUAGGAGAUUUAAGCAAAAAUUAGGAUUUCAGAAGAAACUCAAGUAGAUAUGAAAGAACAUGUCUAAAAUCUCAACGAUCAUAACAAGUACAACAUGAUUUUGCUUGAAAUCAUACUAAAGUAGCCAAGAACAGACUAGAUGGGAUGAAAUUCAGCGUGGCCCAGGGACCUUGAAGGCCUCAAAGAAGGUGAUCAUGGCGAUAGAAGAGCCAUUUGGGGCUUAUGAGUUGAAGGGUGAUCACCAGAGAAGACCAGAGAAUAAGGUCGCUGGUUGAGAUGAGCUAGGGUUAGGUUGAGUGGUUGAGAGAUGAGAGACUA